GAUGAACGCUAGCGGGAGGCUUAACACAUGCAAGUCGAGCGGGAUUAGCAGUAAUGCUAUGAGAGCGGCGCACGGGUGCGUAACGCGUAUGCAACCUGCCUUAUACAGGGGAAUAGCCCAUGGAAACGUGGAUUAACGUCCCAUAGGAUUACGGAUUCGCAUGGAUUUGUGAUUAAAACUGAGGUGGUAUAAGAUGGGCAUGCGUCUGAUUAGGUAGUUGGUGAGGUAAUGGCUCACCAAGCCGACGAUCAGUAGGGGUUCUGAGAGGAUUACCCCCCACACUGGUACUGAGACACGGACCAGACCCCUACGGGAGGCAGCAGUGAGGAAUAUUGGUCAAUGGCCGAAAGGCUGAACCAGCCAUCCCGCGUGCAGGAUGACGGCCCUAUGGGUUGUAAACUGCUUUUGUACCUGAAGAAACCUGUUUACGAGUAGACAGUUGCCGGUAAGGUAUGAAUAAGCAUCGGCUAACUCCGUGCCAGCCGCCGCUGUAA
rnacentral:rRNA from 1 species